GACGAACGCUGGCGGCGUGCCUAAUACAUGCAAGUUGAGCGCUGAAGGUUGGUACUUGUACCGACUGGAUGAGCAGCGAACGGGUGAGUAACGCGUGGGGAAUCUGCCUUUGAGCGGGGGACAACAUUUGGAAACGAAUGUUAAUACCGCAUAAAAACUUUAAACACAAGUUUUAAGUUUGAAUGAUGCAAUUGCAUCACUCAAAGAUGAUCCAGCGUUGUAUUAGCUAGUUGGUGAGGUAAAGGCUCACCAAGGCGAUGAUACAUAGCCGACCUGAGAGGGUGAUCGGCCACAUUGGGACUGAGACACGGCCCAAACUCCUACGGGAGGCAGCAGUAGGGAAUCUUCGGCAAUGGACGAAAGUCUGACCGAGCAACGCCGCGUGAGUGAAGAAGGUUUUCGGAUCGUAAAACUCUGUUGGUAGAGAAGAACGUUGGUGAGAGUGGAAAGCUCAUCAAGUGACGGUAACUACCCAGAAAGGGACGGCUGACUACGUGCCAGCCGCCGCCGUAA
rnacentral:rRNA from 1 species